GGGCUCGUAGCUUAGACUGGUGGAGCGUCUGGCUCAUAACCAGAUGGUCGCAGAUUUCUCGCAGA
rnacentral:tRNA from 1 species